CGGACGCUGCAAGGUGCGUCAGACUUUUACAUCCCUGGGGCCAUAAUUUUCUCUAGGGAGCUGUCCCUGCCGGGCUCCUGGGCUCGGUAUAUGGCGCCCACCUGCAACUGCAGGCCACAGAGGAUACACAGUCAACGGUCGCUGCGGCUCCGU
rnacentral:other from 1 species